rnacentral:rRNA from 1 species
GAUGAACGCUGGCGGCGUGCCUAAUACAUGCAAGUCGAGCGAACAGACGAGGAGCUUGCUCCUCUGACGUUAGCGGCGGACGGGUGAGUAACACGUGGAUAACCCACCUAUAAGACUGGGAUAACUUCGGGAAACCGGAGCUAAUACCGGAUACUAUAUUGAACCGCAUGGUUCAAUAGUGAAUGACGGUUUUGCUGUGACUUCUAGAUGGAUCCGCGCCGCAUUAGCUAGUUGGUAAGGUAACGGCUUACCAAGGCGACGAUGCGGAGCCGACCUGAGAGGGUGAUCGGCCACACUGGAACUGAGACACGGUCCAGACUCCUACGGGAGGCAGCAGUAGGGAAUCUUCCGCGAUGGGCGGAAGCCUGACGGAGCAGCGCCGCGUGAGUGAUGAAGGUCUUCGGAUCGUAAAACUCUGUUAUUAGGGAAGAACAAAUGUGUAAGUAACUAUGCACGACUUGACGGUACCUAAUCAGAAAGCCACGGCUAACUACGUG